rnacentral:sRNA from 1 species
GACCCAGCGCCGAGCCCGCGCCAUGGCGUCCGAGCGGCUCCCUAGCAGGCCCGCCUGUCUGCUCGUGGCCAGCGGCGCCGCCGAAGGGGAAAGCCAUGGAAUUUGUGGAUGUGACCGAGAGCAAUGCACGCUGGGUGCAAGACUUCCGCCUCAAGGCUUACGCCAGCCCCGCCAAGCUCGAGUCCAUCGAUGGUGCCCGGUACCAUGCCCUCCUGAUCCCCAGCUGUCCUGGGGCCCUGACCGACCUGGCCAGCAGUGGCUCCCUGGCCCGUAUCCUGCAGCACUUCCACUCUGAGAGCAAGCCCAUCUGCGCUGUCGGCCACGGUGUCGCCGCCCUGUGCUGUGCCACCAACGAGGACAGAUCCUGGGUGUUCCACGGCUACAGCCUGACAGGGCCCUCUGUGUGUGAGCUCGUCAGGGCCCCCGGCUUCGCCCGCCUGCCGCUCGUGGUGGAGGACUUCGUGAAGGAUUCAGGCGCCUGCUUCAGUGCAAGUGAGCCUGACGCUGUGCACGUCGUGCUGGACCGCCACCUGGUCACGGGCCAGAAUGCCAGCUCCAC